rnacentral:rRNA from 1 species
AUUGAACGCUGGGGCAUGCCUUACACAUGCAAGUCGAACGGCAGCACGGGUGCUUGCACCUGGUGGCGAGUGGCGAACGGGUGAGUAAUACAUCGGAACAUGUCCUGUAGUGGGGGAUAGCCCGGCGAAAGCCGGAUUAAUACCGCAUACGAUCUACGGAUGAAAGCGGGGGACCUUCGGGCCUCGCGCUAUAGGGUUGGCCGAUGGCUGAUUAGCUAGUUGGUGGGGUAAAGGCCUACCAAGGCGACGAUCAGUAGCUGGUCUGAGAGGACGACCAGCCACACUGGGACUGAGACACGGCCCAGACUCCUACGGGAGGCAGCAGUGGGGAAUUUUGGACAAUGGGCGAAAGCCUGAUCCAGCAAUGCCGCGUGUGUGAAGAAGGCCUUCGGGUUGUAAAGCACUUUUGUCCGGAAAGAAAUCCUUGGCCCUAAUACGGUCGGGGGAUGACGGUACCGGAAGAAUAAGCACCGGCUAACUACGUG